CCUACGGGCGGCAGCAGUGGGGAAUAUUGGACAAUGGGGGGAACCCUGAUCCAGCCAUGCCGCGUGUGUGAAGAAGGCCCUCGGGUUGUAAAGCACUUUCAGUGAGGAAGAACGCCUGGUGGUUAAUACCCAUCAGGAAAGACAUCACUCACAGAAGAAGCACCGGCUAACUCCGUGCCAGCAGCCGCGGUAAUACGGAGGGUGCGAGCGUUAAUCGGAAUUACUGGGCGUAAAGCGCGCGUAGGUGGCUUGAUAAGCCGGUUGUGAAAGCCCCGGGCUCAACCUGGGAACGGCAUCCGGAACUGUCAAGCUAGAGUGCAGGAGAGGAAGGUAGAAUUCCCGGUGUAGCGGUGAAAUGCGUAGAGAUCGGGAGGAAUACCAGUGGCGAAGGCGGCCUUCUGGACUGACACUGACACUGAGGUGCGAAAGCGUGGGUAGCAAACAGGAUUAGAUAGCCCUGUAGUC
rnacentral:rRNA from 1 species